AUAGACCAUUAGCAAAUCCACCAAAAAAACCACCACCAGGUCCAAAGAAACCCGGUCCGCCAGGGCCAGGACCCCAACCCGGACCGCCAGGUCCAGGUCCCCAACCUCCACCAGGACCACCCGGGCCUGGACCCCAACCUCCACCAGGUCCUCCUCCACCAGGACCUCCAGGUCCCAUGUUUAAUUAGCUUGCAAGCACCACAGAGCAGGGGAACCUAGGGAGAAUGAGCUUCAGGGCAGUGAUGAAACCAAGGGCUGUGAAAAUUUGGGAUGAAAAAUGUAUUCCUGUUGCUCUGUAAUGUGUGAUUUGAUAAUCAAAA
rnacentral:lncRNA from 1 species